AACGAACGCUGGCGGCAUGCCUAACACAUGCAAGUCGAACGAGACCUUCGGGCUUAGUGGCGCAUGGGUGCGUAAAGCGUGGGAACCUGCCCAUAGGUUCGGAAUAAAUUCCCGAAAGGGGUGCUAAUACCGGAUAAUGUCCUCGGACCAAAGGUUUGUCGCCUUUGGAUGGGCCUGAGUUGGAUUAGUUGGUUGGUAGGGUAAAAGCCUAUCAAGGGGACGAUACAUAGCUGGUCAGAGAGGAUGGUCAGCCACACUGGGGGUGAGACACGGCCCAGACUACUACGGGAGGGAGCAGUGGGGGAUAUUGGACUACCGGCUAUGUGCUGAAGCAGCAAUGACGCGUAAGUGAUUAAAGCCGUGGGGAAGUAAAGCUCUUUUACCCGGGGUGGUAAUGACGUUACCGGGAGAAUAAGCACCGGCUAACUCCGUG
rnacentral:rRNA from 1 species